rnacentral:rRNA from 1 species
AUGAAUCCAGAUCCAAUGGAAGUGCAAGAACCACCACCCCAUAGGAACGAGAAAACCAUCUUUGAGAUGUGCAGAGAAGCCAGAAACUUUCGUACUAAUGCUAGGAGGUGUGGCACUCUUCUUCAGCCCUACGAAUUUAGCUGUCCACAAACUGCAGAACUUGGAUUUAAAAAUGGUUAUAUCUAUUAUUCAAGCAAGGCAAUAAAGUUUGCUGCGGAUAUAGAACAAGGAUUUGACUCAGAGGAACUGCAGAAACGAGCUGCCACCUUCUGGGUUCUGAAUGAAGUGCCUUUUGGUCAGCUAAACCCAUUGGGGCUAAAUCCAUCCGUUGAUGUAGGGAUUGUUAAGACCUACGGCGUGGCCUAUAAUACCCUUAUUGGAAAAACAAUUAUUGCCUUGGCUCGCUCUCAACAAAGUGUGCUCUCCUGGAUAGCAAAUCCAAAUAACAGUAUAUUCGUUCGUGAUCAGUUAAGAAACAGUAUUAGGUCUUUGUAUGUGGCACUGGAGAGGUUAUGGGACAAACAGUGGACAGUAGAUAAUGUGGAAGAUAUUGGAACUUACACUAUUAAUGAGAAUAUGAUCCAAAUUAUGCCAUUCCGAGUUCGUGGAAGGACUCUUGAUGAUGAGAUGACACCUAGGCAGGGUUUGCAACUACUGAUACAGACCAAUAUUUUGCAACAUUGGCCAGAUGAUAUUGAACUGGCGCACUUCAGUGCAUUCCUCAUUAACCCAAAUAUAAACAUAAGGAAACAAGAUGUCCUCGAUCAUCCAUUCCUAGUCACAGUCCCCCACGUUAGGGAGAGCAAGUAUAAAAGAUUAUAUGAAAAAGGAAUUUUUUUUACCGAUGACCAAAUAGAUUGGUUGGAUAAACAUAUCUUCUUACAGGGGUGGCAACUCAAUGUUCAAGACCCGUCUCUUACAGCGAUUCUGGACCAUCAAAUUGAAGUUACCGGGGGGGUGGGGUUUGCUCAAACAGUUUUUGGAGCCUUGCACUUUGCCAAAGUAGUCAUAGCUCAUUAUCACCAGUAUGAUGUUAAUAGGCGGCCUCUUCUUGAUGAUGAUCUCAGGCAUCUUCUGCAAGGACUUCUUACUGGAGUAUAUGGUGCUAGGUUUAAUGAGGAAUUUAUUGCUUUGGCCUGA